GUGACCUCAGAUCAGGCGAGACCACCCGCUGAGUUUAAGCAUAUCACUAAGCGGAGGAAAAGAAACUAACAAGGAUUCCCUUAGUAGCGGCGAGCGAACCGGGAAGAGCCCAGCUUGAAAAUCGCGGCGCCCCGCGGCGCGAGUUGUAGUCUGGAGAAGUGUCCUCUGCAGCGGACCCGGCCUAAGUCCCCUGGAAAGGGGCGUCGGAGAGGGUGAGAACCCCGUCGGGCCGGGACCCUGCUGCUCCACGAGGCGCUGUCGACGAGUCGGGCUGUUUGGGAAUGCAGCCCUAAGCGGGAGGUAAAUUCCUUCCAAGGCUAAAUACCGGCGGGAGACCGAUAGCGAACAAGUACCGCGAGCAAAAGAGAAAAAG
rnacentral:rRNA from 1 species